UCAAUAUCUGCUGAUAUCCCCUCACCAGCUUCUGUGAGCCAAGGCCAUUCUGCGGGAGAGGUGAAGAGAGGGAUGCUGGGAAUGAAGGCAUGAUGACCCACAGCUAUACAGGAGCAGGUAGUUCGGCUCAAUAAAGGAACCUGGGUGUGAUACAGUGGCAUUUUAGGAAGCACGUACAAUGGCUGAGGUCCCUCUAUGUGCAAGGAGGGCGAUGACAUCACCGUGCCCAAACUAGCUCCGCUACAGAAGCACUGCAACCUGAAGCCCAUUCUGGAAUCUCAGGACUCGGGGCUUCUGGCGGUAUCCCUCGGUGAAGCGGCAGAAAGAGUCAACCAGCCACAUUGUGAGUCACCUCUUGAUAAAUGCAUCAUCAAAGAAGCACUACGUAUUGUCCAUUUUAAGUAUUGGAAUGUGCAGUAAUUCUGCAAAUAAACAAGGUGAGAUCAAUGCAACACUGACCCAGACCAAUGCUAUCCCAAAUGAACCAUCAUGACCUGUAAACCCUCACCAAACUCAUCCUGUAAUGACAUCUA